CUCCAGCCUCCGAUUCCAGGCAGCACCAUUGCUGUCCCCAUUCCCCCCUCCAUCACCAUGUUGGACAUUUUCAUCCUCAUGUUUUUUGCCAUUAUCGGCCUGGUUGUUUUAUCCUACAUCAUCUAUAUGUUGUAGAAUCUCCAGCCACGCCACCGGCAAUGCCAAUGGAGGGCGACCAAGCAGGGAGACUGCUUUCCUUGCUUCACGCUGUUUUCUCAGCAAUACUGCAGGUGGGAAUUCUGAUUUAUGGUUAGCAAAGCUCUGUCGUAUUUGAAAGCCACACUGUUAAAUCUGUGCUGCGGGGGUGGGGGGUGGGCGGAAGGCAGUAGACUGCAUAGAGGAAUAAAUGGUGUGUGUUUGUGUAUGAAAACUCUUUUCUGCCAUCACGAAAUAAUACCCAUCACCCGAUCUUUCUGCAGAUAGAAAGCUGUGCGCCUUCUGCAUUUUGCUGAGCAAAAUGCAUUUAAAAAAUAAUAAUGCCUGGGCUAUUACUGUACUAUUAAUGCCCUUUCUCUGUUUAAGAAUCAAUUCUGGAUCUUUAUUGCUGCUCAAUGUGAUGUUUGUGAUAAGGGCUCUGGGCUGAAGAAAGUACAGAGGCUCUUGUGACAUUUACUCUGCUUUUAAGAAGCAACGGGUAGCACUGAGUGCUUUGGAAUUGCGUUUGGUAAAUAAGGUGCCUGCUUGCUACCAGUCCAUGUGUAUUUAUAUCCACAUCCUUUUUUCUUCCUUCCUUUUCUUGCCUUAAUGGGGAUUUUCUACAGAUGGGAGACGCCACCUUGGAGGAGAUCUCAGCGGGGUGGUCCUCUAGAGUUCUUCCAGAGCAUUCUGGAGAAAGGUUAACCCUUCGCACGACCAACUGGGAAAGAGAAGAAUGAUUCAGCCCAACACCCUGAAGACGCCCCUUGAGAUUUCAAAGGAUUUGGGCUGGAAAUGCAAUGGGAACAACAAGGGAACAAGGCCAGGGGUGGACAAAAAUGGACAGCAAGAGAAAGGUGACUGAAAGGUUCUAAGAGGAAAAAGGGGUAAAGCUAUUGCUUGGACUACCCUACUGUUGUUCGUUUUAAAAAAAAGAGGUUUUCUAUAUGUGAAAAUAUACAGGAUUUGAAUGGAAAAAAUAGUAUUUUCUUUUAUUUGUAUGUUCUGGGUUUGUUUGUUUUUUAGUAAAAAGGAAUCUGGGAAAAUGUGGAUUUCUAAAGGCCAAAUGGAGGUGGGGCUGGUGGGGAAAGAGACACAGAUGGAUAACCAAACAUAUUCUAGCUAAUGUUUGUCAUGCUAAGGUCCCAAUAUGGACAACACAGUCUCUGUGCAGAAAUGGGUUUUGGCAUGGACAUCACCUAUCAGGUGGAGAAGUUGUGGGGCAGCACACCCAGCAGCUCAGUAGUAUAUUCAAAACACCCCACAUUUCCCUGUGUGGAAGCUUGUACAUGAAACACUAUGUCUCUGAGAGGUGUGGCUUUGUGCUGCUGUUCAGGGGAUCAGAAUGCUUAUUUUUGCCUUUUUUAAAAAAAGAAAAUUUUCCAGGAAAUAUUUUUUAUACAUAGUUGCUUUCUCCCCUAUAUCUUUCUAAGCUGGUCAGAUUUUUGCACAGGGACAUGAAAGCCACAUGCGAAAUACGUAGAAAGGAGUGUGUCUUUUGGGUUGAUAUGAAAGCUUAGGGAUUCUCUUUCUCCAGUAUGUCACAUGUUCAUAAUUUCUAUGAAUAUGAGAGAAACGUGAAAAGGAAGUAUUGUUUGAAAGCUGUCAGAUGGACUUAUCUCCCUCCCUCCCUCCCUCUCCAAAGGAAAAUGUUUCUGCGAUGACUUCAGUGCACUAAAAUGCCAGAAUGUUGGCUUAGUACAGUUACUAACACAGAUAAAAAAAUUGACAUAGUGCAAAUACUUGUGUGAAAAUAAUGUCCUUGCAAACUGUUGCAGGUUGUAACUUUUUGCCUCCACAUCCAAACUGAUACUGUCAGCUAGGCGAGGAGGAGAGAUUUGAAGUAACAUUUAAAGGUGAAUUUACCCAGUCUGCGCUUUUUGAAACAAUAAGUGAACUGGAACACAGUCAUCCUUUGAAAUGUGCACUUCUCCAAAUUUUGCAAUGCUGUUUGCCAGCCAAGUGAUGUGUAGAAAAAUGUAUGUGCUAGCGAUGUAAAGUGUGCAUCAAAAUACAUAUUUUAGUGAAAAUAACUUAUAGAAAUGUAUAUGAUGAGGAGAAAUAUGCUUUGCAAAGCAAGUAUUCGGCAAAAUGGAAUGUCAGCGUAUUAGGAGAAAUUUGCACUGAAAGGCUGCUGAGUUUCCUUGGACUUUUUAAAAACAAAACAAAACCAAGAAUCAUAAAUUGAUAUGGAAAUGUGGAGAGCUGAAUUUAAGAUUGGAAGAAGCAGGAGGAGACUGAAACUGACAGAUUCACCCCAUUCCUACUUUCAGACUGGAAACAAAACUAUCUCUAAUGUGCAGGGCCCAAUAUAUAAGAUCCAUGGUUUGUGGUUUUUUGUUUCCUUGUAUUUUUGGAAUGUGUAAAAUGACACAAGAGGCAGAACCAAACAUAUUCCCUCACACAAACAGUAAUUUUUGGAAGGUUUGAAAUGUAAAAAUUAAUAAUUUAAUGUGAAUAAACUUCAAGGCACCUUG
rnacentral:lncRNA from 1 species